rnacentral:rRNA from 1 species
UGGGGGAUAUUGCACAAUGGGCGAAAGCCUGAUGCAGCGACGCCGCGUGGGGGAUGAAGGCUUUCGGGUUGUAAACCUCUUUCGCUAUCGAACAAGGCCCGCUUAGGGUGGGUUGAGGGUAGGUGGAGAAGAAGCGCCGGCUAACUACGUGCCAGCAGCCGCGGUAAUACGUAGGGCGCGAGCGUUGUCCGGAAUUAUUGGGCGUAAAGGGCUUGUAGGCGGCUUGUUGCGCCUGCUGUGAAAACGCGGGGCUUAACUUCGCGCGUGCAAGGGGAACAGGCAGGAUUGAGUGAGGUAGGGGUGACUGGAAUUCCAGGUGUGGCGGUGGAAUGCGCAGAUAUCUGGAGGAACACCGAUGGCGAAGGCAGGUCACUGGGACAUUACUGACGCUGAAGAGCGAAAGCAUGGGUAGCGAAAAGG